rnacentral:rRNA from 1 species
UACGUAGGGUGCGAGCGUUAAUCGGAAUUACUGGGCGUAAAGCGUGCGCAGGCGGCGCGUUAAGACAGGUGUGAAAGCCCCCGAGCUUAACUUGGGAAUUGCGCUUGUGACUGGCGUGCUGGAGUGUGGCAGAGGGAGGUGGAAUUCCACGUGUAGCAGUGAAAUGCGUAGAGAUGUGGAGGAACACCGAUGGCGAAGGCAGCCUCCUGGGCCAACACUGACGCUCAUGCACGAAAGCGUGGGGAGCAAACAGG